CCGAGUUUACAACUCCCAAACCCCUGUGAACAUACCACUUGUUGCCUCGGCGGAUCAGGCCCGCUCCCGGUAAAACGGGACGGCCCGCCAGAGGACCCCUAAACUCUGUUUCUAUAUGUAACUUCUGAGUAAAACCAUAAAUAAAUCA
rnacentral:misc_RNA from 1 species